UACGGAGGGUGCAAGCGUUAUCCGGAUUCACUGGGUUUAAAGGGUGCGUAGGCGGAUUUUUAAGUCAGUGGUGAAAGCUUUGAGCUUAACUCAAAAACUGCCAUUGAUACUAUUAAUCUUGAAUACAGUUGAGGUGGGCGGAAUGUGUCAUGUAGCGGUGAAAUGCUUAGAUAUGACACAGAACACCAAUUGCGAAGGCAGCUCGCUAAACUGUUAUUGACGCUGAGGCACGAAAGCGUGGGGAGCAAACAGG
rnacentral:rRNA from 1 species